AUUGAACGCUGGCGGCAUGCCUUACACAUGCAAGUCGAACGGUAAGGCCCUUCGGGGUACACGAGUGGCGAACGGGUGAGUAACACGUGGGUGAUCUGCCCUGCACUUCGGGAUAAGCCUGGGAAACUGGGUCUAAUACCGGAUAGGACCACUGCCUGCAUGGGUGGUGGUGGAAAGCUUUUGCGGUGUGGGAUGGGCCCGCGGCCUAUCAGCUUGUUGGUGGGGUGAUGGCCUACCAAGGCGACGACGGGUAGCCGGCCUGAGAGGGUGACCGGCCACACUGGGACUGAGAUACGGCCCAGACUCCUACGGGAGGCAGCAGUGGGGAAUAUUGCACAAUGGGCGCAAGCCUGAUGCAGCGACGCCGCGUGAGGGAUGACGGCCUUCGGGUUGUAAACCUCUUUCAGCACCGACGAAGCGCAAGUGACGGUAGGUGCAGAAGAAGGACCGGCCAACUACGUGCCAGCAGCCGCCGUAA
rnacentral:rRNA from 1 species